AUGUUAAUUUAAUUUGCUUGUGAGUUUGUUCUCACAUUAAGGGAUGUCAAUUAAUCUUAUGAUUAUCAGGUGGCAUCGUAAAGGAAUACGGUCUACAUUUUGUGGGUAGUACCUUGUAAAUUUAAGACUUUUCCCAUUUGAUUUAAUAAAUUGUCAGGUGACUUUGACUGAGUUGGUUGAAACAACAAGUUGCAAAAGUAACCUCUGUUGCGUAGAUUUGAUUCAGU
rnacentral:lncRNA from 1 species